GAUGAACGCUGGCGGCGUGCCUAAUACAUGCAAGUCGAGCGAACGGACGAGAAGCUUGCUUCUCUGAUGUUAGCGGCGGACGGGUGAGUAACACGUGGAUAACCUACCUAUAAGACUGGGAUAACUUCGGGAAACCGGAGCUAAUACCGGAUAAUAUUUUGAACCGCAUGGUUCAAAAGUAAAAGACGGUCUUGCUGUCACUUAUAGAUGGAUCCGCGCUGCAUUAGCUAGUUGGUAAGGUAACGGCUUACCAAGGCAACGAUGCAUAGCCGACCUGAGAGGGUGAUCGGCCACACUGGAGCUGGGACACGGUCCAGGCGCCUACGGGAGGCAGCAGUAGGGAAUCUUCCGCAGUGGGCGAAAGCCUUACGGAGCAACGCCGCGUGAGUGAUGAAGGUCUUCGGAUCGUAAAACUCUGUUAUUAGGGAAGAACAUAUGUGUAAGUAACUGUGCACAUCUUGACGGUACCUACACAGAAAGCCACGGCUAACUACGUG
rnacentral:rRNA from 1 species